CCGACGAAGUGAGUCGACGCUUGUUUGGAGUGCAACGAUGAAGAUUUGAGGGAAGGCGCGAAAAAACAAAAAAGAAGCUUUUUUUGAAGAGUGUUGGUGACCAUUGACGUCCAUUGUCGAAAUUAAUUUUAUGUUCCACAGAAGAAAGAAUUCAUGCCAUUUUGGAACAACAUGAGGCAUUGAUUUGUGCCAGGCAGACUGCUAUUAAAAAGGGGCUGUGCCAAGUAUCCGCCAGUGCCAAGUAUCCGCCAGCAAUCCUACAACCCCGUUUUUAAAGUCAUCCUGCAUAACAGAAAAGGUGUCCUAAUUGAAGAAUCACCCACAGACAUUCAUUGGAGUAUAAAUGGAUUAUGAUUGGACUGGCUUCAGAAAAAUGCAGACAUACGCAGCCUAAGCGGUGUGCUUUAUCAGCUUGUCAA